rnacentral:rRNA from 1 species
CGGUGUUUAACUGGCGUGAUGUGGGACGUCCUACCGGUGGGCUUAGCCUCGCGAGGGGCGGCCCAACUAAUAUCCCGUCGCGGUGCUCUUUACUGAGUGUCGAGUCGGGCCGGUACGUUUACUUUGAACAAAUUAGAGUGCUUAAAGCAGGCUAUCCUCGCCUGAAUACUGCGUGCAUGGAAUAAUGGAAUAGGACCUCGGUUCUAUUUUGUUGGUUUUCGGAACCCCGAGGUAAUGAUUAAUAGGGACAGAUGGGGGCAUUCGUAUUGCGACGUUAGAGGUGAAAUUCUUGGAUCGUCGCAAGACGGACAGAAGCGAAAGCAUUUGCCAAAAAUGUUUUCAUUAAUCAAGAACGAAAGUUAGAGGUUCGAAGGCGAUCAGAUACCGCCCUAGUUCUAACCAUAAACGAUGCCAGCUAGCGAUCCGCCGAAGUUCCUCCGAUGACUCGGCGGGCAGCUUCCGGGAAACCAAAGCUUUUGGGUUCCGGGGGAAGUAUGGUUGCAAAGCUGAAACUUAAAGGAAUUGACGGAAGGGCACCACCAGAGUGGAGCCUGCGGCUUAAUUUGACUCAACACGGGAAACCUCACCAGCCCAGACACCGGAAGGAUUGACAGAUUGAUAGCUCUUUUCUGAUUCGUGGGUGGUGGUGCAUGGGCCGUUCUUAGUGGUGAGCGAUUUGUCUGGUUAAUCCGAUACGAACGAAGACUCUAGCCCUGCUAAAUAGGCGUACCUUAUGGUAUCGCGAAGGCCCCCGGCUUCGGCCGGUGGGUUUUUACUACCAACGUACAAACAAAUCUUCUUAGAGGGACAGGCGG